rnacentral:lncRNA from 1 species
ACACUAUUAGAGUCUGUAAUCUUAAAAGUGUCUUCAUCCAAUGGUCAAUCAUGUUCAACAGUUUUCUAUUACCUUAUGUUACUGUAUAUAUCUUAUAUUACAUCCUUGCUCUUGUUUUCUUUGGUCAUUCUUUUUUCUGUCCACCAACAACCUGAAUGCAGCUCAAGUGCCUGGUUAGUGUGGCAAGGUCACAUCCCUUCAAUUAACAUUCAGUGCUGUUUGGUGUUCAUGGCUUAUUAGUCCUGGCUCUUUUAAGGGGAUACAGCCCUAUUUAGUUUCAUGCUGAAAGGACGGACAUGCCAUUGUACCUGAAAGAGCAGAUGGGAGGAUUUCAAGACCCAAGGAUCCCCUGCAAGUCUUGUGUUUGUGCAAGGAGCAGAAGUCCUAUACUUAGCAGUGAAAUGGAUGGAGCACACUGAGAAAUAUGGGCUUAAUUUACCCCAGACAAUAUUUGGUAAGUUUAUUUAAACCUAUUGAUUUUAGUACUUUCAUGGAAACUUCACAAUAGCUUCAUCAGAAGGUUUAGUUCAGUUUAGUUCAGUAACUCUGUAGCUUUCCAAUAAGAAAACAUGAUUUUGAGAAUUGAGAUGCCAAGGGUGAUUCUGAGAAUAAUAUUCAGGAAACAUAUUCUAAGAAGAAUCAGAGUUUAAAAUUUCAGGUGAGUUUUUAUCACAAGUUUCAUCUGGGAGCAGAAAUGACAAAAUAAUUUAAAUCAGAAUCAUUUCAUGUCAAACCUUUCCACCUGCUCUGCAAAUGGUGCCUGUGCUGCCACCUGGAGCCCACUGCUGGUUAAGAAACACGAAGGCGAAGCUGGAAAAGAAAACUAGCAGCUGUUCUGUACAAGCAAAUAGUGCUGGGAUAACAAAAGCAGCCAGAGAAUUAAUGCAAGAUAAUCUCAGCUACUUGGUGUCUUGUGCAACCCACAGCAAGUUCAAUGAAACCAUAGUCAAGCCUGGUGAUUUCAGAUAAACCCACGUGGCUUCCAGAACUAAAGGUAACACUUUGGUAGAAGUUGCAGCUCUCAACCUGAGUAAGUACCUCUGCAAUAAUUACCUUGGUUUUGACUGACUUGUGUCACUUUGCAUCAUAGUGGAUGUGACAAGGUAGCCAGGUAGCACUCUGCAGGUGUGAGGAUGGGACUUUUAAACCCUGAGGAAAGAUAAUUCUUUUGAAGACUCUGACUUGAUUAGCAGUCGCUGCAUGAGAACAUCAUACGAAUUAUUUAAAAUAUUUAUAAACAGCUAUGUACCGGUAUGGUAACUCAUUAAAACUUCUGAUAAUUGCAUCUAGCAAUAAGUGACAGAGGCAGAUAUGAUGACUAUAUAGAUUAAAAGUCCAAGUUUAUAACAAAAGAAGGCUCAUCUGGUCUGACUUCUAUUAAAAACAAUGGUAAAUAACUAAUAAAUGGAGGAAACUUUAUUUGGUUUGCA